rnacentral:rRNA from 1 species
GAUCAUGGCUCAGGAUGAACGCUAGCUACAGGCUUAACACAUGCAAGUCGAGGGGAAACGACAUCGAAAGCUUGCUUUUGAUGGGCGUCGACCGGCGCACGGGUGAGUAACGCGUAUCCAACCUGCCCACCACUUGGGGAUAACCUUGCGAAAGUAAGACUAAUACCCAAUGACGUCUCUAGAAGACAUCUGAAAGGGGAUUAAAGAUUUAUCGGUGAUGGAUGGGGAUGCGUCUGAUUAGCUUGUUGGCGGGGUAACGGCCCACCAAGGCGACGAUCAGUAGGGGUUCUGAGAGGAAGGUCCCCCACAUUGGAACUGAGACACGGUCCAAACUCCUACGGGAGGCAGCAGUGAGGAAUAUUGGUCAAUGGACGAGAGUCUGAACCAGCCAAGUAGCGUGCAGGAUGACGGCCCUAUGGGUUGUAAACUGCUUUUAUAAGGGAAUAAAGUGAGCCUCGUGAGGCUUUUUGCAUGUACCUUAUGAAUAAGGACCGGCUAAUUCCGUG